ACCGUGCUUUUGAAGACUGAUAGACAAGGAAGAGAGUCUUCUUCUCAAAAAUUCUGUUCUCCUUUGUGCCAAGGGCAUAAUGAAAUUAUAAGGAAGUUAGAGACAGAAAGUUGAGUCCUAUGUCACAGACUGCAUCUCUGUUUCCUUUCUUCAUCCAUAUUCUUGGGUCUCCAGUAUUUGUCUGUCAGUAUACAACAAGAACUCCAUCCUAUUGGUGUUCCUGGUGUGCUUAUGAUCCUCUUAGCUCCACCAGCAAAUAACACAUUCAACAACUGCCACCAUAUCAGCAAGGGAUACAUUCUGCCUCAAGGCACACUGUAAGGCUGCCAAGCAGAGCUCACGAGGAAGAUGAAUCACAGUGAUCCCUGUGUUGCCGUGGAUCAUAACAUGAUCUCUGAC